GCCUAACACAUGCAAGUCGAGCGGUAACAGGUGUAGCAAUACAUGCUGACGAGCGGCGAACGGGUGAGUAAUGCUUCGGAAUCUGCCCAAUGGUGGGGAAUAACCAGCCGAAAGGUUGGCUAAUACCGCAUGAGCCCUACGGGGGAAAGCAGGGGAUCGUAAGACCUUGCGCCGAUGGAUGAGCCGAAGUCGGAUUAGCUAGUUGGUAGGGUAACGGCCUACCAAGGCGACGAUCCGUAGCUGGUCUGAGAGGACGACCAGCCACACUGGGACUGAGACACGGCCCAGACUCCUACGGGAGGCAGCAGUGGGGAAUAUUGGACAAUGGGGGAAACCCUGAUCCAGCGACGCCGCGUGUGUGAAGAAGGCCUGCGGGUUGUAAAGCACUUUUAGUGGGGAUGAAAAGCUCAGGGCUAACACCUCUGGGUCUUGACCUAACCCACAGAAAAAGCACCGGCUAACUCUGUGCCAGCAGCCGCGGUAAUACAGAGGGUGCGAGCGUUAAUCGGAAUUACUGGGCGUAAAGCGUGCGU
rnacentral:rRNA from 1 species